rnacentral:rRNA from 1 species
UUGAACGCUGGCGGCAUGCUUUACACAUGCAAGUCGAGCGGCAGCGCGGGGGCAACCCUGGCGGCGAGCGGCGAACGGGUGAGUAAUGCAUCGGAACGUAUCCUCGAGUGGGGGAUAACCCAGCGAAAGUUGGGCUAAUACCGCAUGAGCUCUGAGGAGGAAAGCGGGGGACCUGCGAGGGCCUCGCGCUGGAGGAGCGGCCGAUGUCCGAUUAGCUAGUUGGUGGGGUAAAGGCUUACCAAGGCGACGAUCGGUAGCUGGUCUGAGAGGAUGAUCAGCCACACUGGGACUGAGACACGGCCCAGACUCCUACGGGAGGCAGCAGUGGGGAUUUUUGGACAAUGGGGGCAACCCUGAUCCAGCCAUGCCGCGUGAGUGAAGAAGGCCUUCGGGUUGUAAAGCUCUUUCGGACGGAACGAAAUGGGCGGGACUAAUACUCCUGUCUGAUGACGGUACCGUAAGAAGAAGCACCGGCUAACUACG